GGAUGGGUGAGUAUCACGUGGGCAACCUGCCUGUAAGAUCGGGAUAACUCGCGGAAACGUGAGCUAAUACCGGAUGAAGUCUUACGCCACCUGGCGUAAGGAUGAAAGAUGGCCUUUGUGCUAUCACUUACAGAUGGGCCCGCGGCGCAUUAGCUAGUUGGUGGGGUAAUGGCCUACCAAGGCGACGAUGCGUAGCCGACCUGAGAGGGUGAUCGGCCACACUGGGACUGAGACACGGCCCAGACUCCUACGGGAGGCAGCAGUAGGGAAUCUUCCGCAAUGGACGAAAGUCUGACGGAGCAACGCCGCGUGAGUGAUGAAGGUCUUCGGAUCGUAAAACUCUGUUGUCAGGGAAGAACAAGUGACGUUCGAAUAGGGCGUGACCUUGACGGUACCUGACCAGAAAGCCCCGGCUAACUACGUGCCAGCAGCCGCGGUAAUACGUAGGGGGCAAGCGUUGUCCGGAAUUAUUGGGCGUAAAG
rnacentral:rRNA from 1 species